UAGGGAAUAUUGGUAAUCUGGGAAACCGGGACCCAGCAACGCCGCGUGCGCGAUGACGGCCUUCGGGUUGUAACGCGCUUUUUGAGAGGAUGAGGAAGGACAGUACUCUUAGAAUAAGCCUCGGCUAACUACGUGCCAGCAGCCGCGGUAAAACGUAGGAGGCGAGCGUUAUCCGGCUUUACUGGGCGUAAAGCGUGUGUAGGCGGUUUGAUAAGUUGGAUGUGAAAGCUCCUGGCUUAACUGGGAGAGGUCGUUCAAAACUAUCAGACUUGAGAGUGGUAGAGGGAGGUGGAAUUCCGCAUGUAGUGGUGAAAUGCGUAGAUAUGCGGAGGAACACCAGUGGCGAAAGCGGCCUCCUGGCCCAUUUCUGACGCUCAGACACGAAAGCUAAGGUGGCAAACG
rnacentral:rRNA from 1 species